UGCAGCACGAAUGAUGGGGGCCCCCCAAACCCUGAAGGGCGGGGGCCCCUUGAUAUGUUGCUGCA
rfam:Eimeria maxima Weybridge genomic scaffold, Emw_scaff453